CUUGUGUUGGAGCCCUCUUUUUUUUUGUUUUUCUCUUUUUUUUUGGUUAAAAAUGAAUGACUCUAUAACCUUUAGACCGUGAGGCCAAACUUGGCAUGUGAUACUUUUUCGGAAAGCCCAAAGAGAUCUUCUCCGAUGAAUGAGGAAGGAAAAUUGAAUACUUCUAUUGGUGUUUUUUCUACUACAAAUUUUGACCUAAAUGUACUUUUUUGGGCUUUUUCGUGAUCUUUGCUUUAUUACGGGGGAAAAAUUGUGUGUUCGGACAUUGUUUUCCAAUAUUUUGCCAUGUAUCAAAGCUCUUAUAAAGAAGAUACGGUAUUCCUACAUAUCUGGUGGGACCCACGACAAAUGGAUCAUAAAGUCUUUAAAAAAGAAUAGAUACGAUUACAUUGCAUGUAGUAACAGAUGCGAUCAUACCAGCACUAAUGCACUUGAUCCCAUCAGAACUCCCCAGUUAA
rnacentral:rRNA from 1 species